UCCAGACUCCUACGGGAGGCAGCAGUGAGGAAUAUUGGUCAAUGGCCGAGAGGCUGAACCAGCCAAGUCGCGUGAGGGAAGACGGCCCUACGGGUUGUAAACCUCUUUUGUCGGGGAGCAAAGCGAGUCACGUGUGACUCAUUGAGAGUACCCGAAGAAAAAGCAUCGGCUCACUCCGUGCCAGCAGCCGCGGUAAUACGGAGGAUGCGAGCGUUAUCCGGAUUUAUUGGGUUUAAAGGGUGCGCAGGCGGAGGUGCAAGUCAGCGGUCAAAUUGCGGGGCUCACCCCCGGACUGCCGUUGAAACUGCAUCCCUUGAGUGCGCGAGAAGUAUGCGGAAUGCGUGGUGUAGCGGUGAAAUGCAUAGAUAUCACGCAGAGCUCCGAUUGCGAGGGCA
rnacentral:rRNA from 1 species